UACGUAGGGGCAAGCGUUGUCCGGAAUUAUUGGGCGUAAAGAGCGUGUAGGCGGUCCGGUAAGUCAGCUGUGAAAGUCAAGGGCUCAACCCUUGAAUGCCGGUUGAUACUGUCGGGCUAGAGUCCGGAAGAGGCGAGUGGAAUUCCCGGUGUAGCGGUGAAAUGCGCAGAUAUCGGGAGGAACACCAAUGGCGAAGGCAGCUCGCUGGGACGGUACUGACGCUGAGACGCGAAGCGUGGGAGCAACAG
rnacentral:rRNA from 1 species